rnacentral:rRNA from 1 species
AUGCAAGACGCUAACCCACAAUCAACCAUUAGCAUAACAAACGACAAAGAAGAAGAAAACAACGAGGAGGAGGUAUCACAAGCACUGCAAGACCAAGAGACAUCCCGUGUUGAAAUUGAAGCCCAUAGUGAACCUCAAACAGACGAAGGCGUCACAGAACAGGAACUUUGUGUACAAGAGAUUUCCAGCGCCACAACAUUGCAGAUCACCAUCACGAGUACAAAGGAGAAAGCGCAAGACAUCCCAGCCGAUGAGAAACAAGAGACUGUUAUACCUGACAAAGAAAUAGUAGAUGCAGGCACAAAUAACCCAGUCAUCAACACGGAGGAAACAAACGAGUACGCUGAUCUCGAAGAUCAAGAACUUCAAACAACAACAUCUGAAGAGGUGAGGUUACAAAGCUCAGACACAAAUGAAGUUCAAUCUAUAAUUUCAUUUUUUAUUAAACAGAAAGAGGAAGCAUGCAAAAGCACUGGCAUAGACAUUCAACAAGAAAAACUAGAGGACAACACGAGACAAGGAGAAGUCGUAGUACAAGCAGUAGACAGUCCUGCAACUCCAGAGAUAGAGGCACAAGAAGCUCAAGAAACCAUCAACAAUCAAGACCAUCAAACCCAACCAGAGGAGCCCAAUGAACAACCCGAGCAUGUUCUUCAAACGAGAGAGGAGACCAAUGAGCAAAAGGAGGACACUGAAGAAGGGCAACAUGUUCUUCAAAAGUCAGUCAUCAACGUAACAGAAGACCAAGCCCCAAAAUAUUCACUCACCGAAAAACACGCAGCAGAGAGGGCAGCAGCAACAACGACUGAAAAGCUCGACAAAGAACGGGUCGAACAGUCAGCAUCACCAACAACAGCUCAACAGAAACACGAAGAAGGCGACCACGGAGAUACAAGUCAGUGCCAACCAGGUCGAGACUGA